CCUCCUCCUCCUCCUCCUCCUCUUCCUCCUGAGAGCGUCAGGGGAGGAGGGAGGAAGAGGAGGAGGAGA